rnacentral:tRNA from 1 species
GGCCAAUUAGCUCAGUCGGUAGAGCACUCGGCUGUUAACCGAUAGGUCGUAGGUUCGAGCCCUACA